rnacentral:snRNA from 1 species
UUUAUUUUUCCCAUUAUAGCUGAUACUAAAAUUGGAAUAAUACAGAGAAGAUUAGCAUGGCCCCUGUGC